UACAGAGGUCUCAAGCGUUGUUCGGAUUCAUUGGGCGUAAAGGGUGCGUAGGCGGCGCGGUAAGUCGGGUGUGAAAUCUCGGAGCUUAACUCCGAAACUGCAUUCGAUACUGCCGUGCUUGAGGACUGGAGAGGAGACUGGAAUUUACGGUGUAGCGGUGAAAUGCGUAGAUAUCAGGAGGAACACCGGUGGUGUAGACGGCUCUCUGGACCGUAACUGACGCUGAGACACGAAAGCGUGGGUAGCAAACAGG
rnacentral:rRNA from 1 species